rnacentral:lncRNA from 1 species
UUUUGAGGAUGUCCCAGUGCUGCCAUCAUGGCUCCAGCCCUGUCGUUGCUCUUUAGCUCCAAGUGACUGUUUCCCUCUCUCCCUUUUUUUCUUUGUCUGUGAAGUCUGGUCCAGAGGAAAUACAGUUUUUGCAUUGCUGCAUCCAAAGAAAUACAUUCCAUUUUAGAAACUGUUUUGUAACACACAUUGAAAAGUAAUGAGUAAAAAAAGAAAAACAACAAAGAGGAGAGGUGAAAAUUGACCUCCAAAUAUAUCUGGUUGAUGGGGUGAUACUUAGGUUUUCUUUCAAGAAAAAAAGGUGCAGUGUGUGGGCAGGUAUGCUAACUGCAGGGCAGGUAAGCUGUGCAACAGAAGCUAAAGUGAUGGAUCUGGAAGAGCUGAAUACUGAAGUAAAUGGUAUUUAGUAGCAUGAACUUUAUCUUCCAAUAAAAGCCUGAGAAUACUGCCAUUCUAAUUAACUACCAGUAUUAAUUUCUAUCGCUGUUGCAGACAAUGGUUUUACUUGCAUUUUAACAUUUGAGUUGCUUAACUCUUCUUUGCGGUGAGUGUCCCUUUAAUAGCACAUGUAAAAUGAUGUUUCACAAGUAAUUGCAGUCCAGGAGAGAAACAUACCAAAGUUGGAAGGGAGAUGCUGGCUUUUGUCUUGAGCUCGGGUUUUUAUUUGCACAGGGUGUGCAGUCAGCUGGUAUUACAAGGGCUCUGCCUGUCCCUGUGCUUUGCCCCGUGUUUCUCCAGGUCAUGGAGAAACCCAUGUGAGCAUGUGGACAGAUUUCUUGCCCUAGGUCAUACCUGGUGGGAUUGGCUGACUAUCCAGAGAGCUGCCAGCAUCUAACACAACAACAGACCAUAACCCCAAGUCCUCCUCCAGCUGGUAAUGCUGUAUGGGCAGGCCCUGUGAGCAACAUGGGCAUGUGGUCCCAUGACCAGGACCUGCAGGUGAAGCAUCCAGUCAGUGCUGUGGAUUUUGGCUCUGAAUGUUAUGAUGAAUGUGAGGAAUCCAUCCCUCUGGAAUGCCAUAAAUUCACACAGUGCCAUAGAUCCACGUCUCCAUCGGUGCACUCCCAACUGCCUUUGUGUGAGCAGAACCAGUUGUGUGGCAGGGGAAAACCUUUGGGGAUUUGCGGUGCGUGGGCUUGUGGUGGAGGACGCCUCGUCGGCAGUGCGUGGAGCGCCCAGGAGUUACGGCAGUCUCCUGAGAACAUUUUUUUCUGAGUGAUUCCAGCUUCCAGACAUUUGCCAUGAUAAGGGUUUCGAUCCUUUCCCAUAUUUGCCCUGAGUCAUGAGUGGAUAUGUGUGAUGCCUGCAAGUAAAACUGGUGAGUCGCCAAAGCCAUGUUUGCAGUAACUCUAACUCUUUCUUACAGUCUCUUUCCCUCACUCUUCUUUUCUUUUUGAUAUGGUGGGGAUUUGGGGUUCCUUUUUUUGUAAUGUCUGUGUUCAUAAACAAGUCACCACUAUUUUGUACCUCUCGAAUAAACACGUUAAUUGCAUUGAAAUAUCCA